rnacentral:lncRNA from 1 species
UCCGGUGACAGGCAGCCAGAGCCGGAAGGGGGCAAUCGCAGCCCCAGAGAGACAUUAUCUAUAAAACUGUAAGCAGGCUUCUUUGCUAACUAAAACUUCUUGGGGGUCGGGACGGUCAACAUCUGCCUGAGAAGGUGCGCCGGUUUUACACCCAGAUAACCGAGUGGCGGGGAGGCGAUAAGUCGCAGCAUUGGCGCUCGCCAAACACCUCAUCGCCAGACUUCAUUAUAAAGGAAUUGCAUGUCACAUUAUCUCCUAAGGUGUGGCUGUUACCCACCACUGGCCUCUGGCAGGUAACAUUUAAAUGCACUGCUGUAACAAUGAUUCUUGGCAGGAAAGUUUAAAAGCAG